rnacentral:rRNA from 1 species
UACGAAGGGUGCAAGCGUUACUCGGAAUUACUGGGCGUAAAGGGUGCGUAGGUGGUUGUUUAAGUCUGUUGUGAAAGCCCCGGGCUCAACCUGGGAAUGGCAAUGGAUACUGGACAGCUAGAGCGCGGUAGAGGGUAGUGGAAUUCCAGGUGUAGCGGUGAAAUGCGUAGAUAUCUGGAGGAACACCGGUGGCGAAGGCGGCCAUCUGGCCCAUUUUUGACGCUGAGGCGCGAAAGCGUGGGGAGCAAACAGG